GGCAUAUGGAGGUUCCCAGGCUAGGGAUCUAAUCGGAGCUGUUGCUGCCGGCCUACACCAGAGCCACAGCCACGCCAGAUCUGAGCUGUGUCUGCAACCUAUACCACAGCUCACGGCAAUGCCGGAUCCUUAACUCACUGAGCGAGGCCAGGGAUCAAACCCGCAACCUCAUGGUUCCUAGUCAGAUUCUUUUCUGCUGCGCCACGACGGUAACUCCAGAGGAAACUUUAAAAAGGUACCACCCUCCGGGCUUUGUACUCCAGCCUAGUGGAACUGAAGUCUUUGGGGGAGGAGGCUGGGAUCACUUUUUUAAAGUAUCCCCUGGGCUAAGAGGGAGGGCCCAUGGCUGACCUAAAGAGCAGGAACCAGAGAAGACAGCUAUUUCAUGGGCCCCACAUCAGCGCAAGGAGAUCAGAGAAGAAAUGUGAACCCAACCUGGCCUUUUCAAUUUGUCCAUUCAGCUUACUGUGCUGGGCGGGUGCAUGAACAGGUAACUCUCAUCCUUCUUAUCGUGCAUCCCACUUCUUCACUUGGUGGCUGACUCGCUGGCUCAGCUUCCAAAGUGCAUCAUGAAGUUGAGUUAUCACAUGAGCCUUUCCUGUGCCUAAGGGUCCCUCGUGUCUGUGUUAUUAUGACUGAUUGGUGGGGGGGCACACCUGCAGCGUAUGGAAGUUCCUGGGCUGGGGGUCAAAUUACAGCUGCAGCUGCCCAUCUACACCACAGCCACAUCAACGCCAGAUAUGAGCUGUGUCUGCAACUUAUACCGCAGCUCAUGGCAAUGCUGGAUCCUUAGCCCACUGAAUGGGGCCAGGGAUCCAUCCUUUGUCCUCAUGGAUACCAGCUGGGCGCAUUACUGCUGAGCCAUGACGGGAAUUCCACCACCGAUAUUCUAAAACUACCCCACAACUUCCCCCUUGCUGAGGAGGUGGCAGGAUGGGGUGAUGCAGCCAGCCAGAUCAGUAAGGAAGGGCUUGACCAGCCCACAGCCCAGGAUGGAGCAGCACACUGGCCCCUCGGCCACUCAGGUCAAGCCUGGAAAUAGGAGCAUGACUUACUCACUUUGAUUUUUGAGCAGUUGAACAGAGGGCUUUCUUAAAUUCCUCGGAUCUCCCUCUGGAGAUGACCCCAAGCUUUACUGAGCUGUGAAUCACUGCUCAACACCUUUUUCUUUCUCUGCCUCCUUGGCAGUCUUGGAAGGACCUGAUUCAUUUCUUAGUUUUGACCCAGUGGACCAUAAAAAUGGGAAAAUCAAGGAUUUCUUAAAGCUGAGUUAAUCAUUGGCUACUUUGUGACACAAACUUUGACGUGAUGGAUUAACUAGUUGGGGAGAAUGGGUGGUUUUUAAAGCAUUUAAGCUGUAGCAUCUGCACUGAAUGAACUUGGGUUUAAUCAUGACCUCUGAGAGAAAGAAGGGCCCUGGACAUCAUUUGAUCUUAGCAUAUAGAAGAGGACACCUCAAGGGCUGGCAGAGGGAAGCCAUCAGCCUGAGUGUCAGGCUUGGUUGACCUGGGAACCAGAGGCUCGUUCCCAGAGUCCAGAAUCCUACCGUCUCUAUUACAGGCUUCUGGAAGUCACUGAGGAUCUGUGAACCACUUGUUUCUGCAUCUUCCAAUGAGAGGAGAGAUUCUCUAGCUUUCGUCCUGUUCUCAAAGUGGUCUUUGAUCCAAAAAUAGAUCAAUAAACCAGCGGUCUAGCUCUUUGCAAUAGAAGAAAUUUACUUUAAAAUUUCAUUCAUAGCGGUUGGUAGACCUAUUUGUGGCAUAUUAAAGAGAUAAUAAUUACAUUAUAUGCCAAUUCUACAAGUCAUAAAACAAAACUUAUUUCUAUUUGGGGCCAGGAGUAGGCUAUCUCAUCCCAAAGCACUAACACACAUAAGAAAUCAAAGUAUAGAAUUCAAUGAAAGCUUCAAGAGGAUUUUGAAUAAUCCAUCACUUCAGAUUUAUGCCUCUAUUUUUAUUUUUUGAAGGGAUACCAUUCUUCAUUUGUUCAUAAGAGGGCAUAAAAAAUAUGUAAAGAUAUUUAAAGGCAAAGAGACACUGGGGCAUAGCUUCAUCAUUUUCUCUUCCACUGUGCUGCCUGUUUCUUGUGAUAAAAUUCUGCUGAUGCCACAGUUAGAUAGAUGUGCUUCUGUGAGGCGGGUUGUAAUGAGACCUUUAGGGUGACUGCAGGCUUCAUCCUGUCACUCUAGUAAUGUGAUGGCACCACUUAGUCAGGUGGUUGGAUCAGAUUGGUCACAGUGCAUGGUCCUGGGGCAGCAGCAGUGUCUCCCGGGAAUUUGCUAAGAACGUGAAACUUCAGGUCUACCCCAGAGUUCAUGAACUCCAGAAUCUUCAUUCUUACAAGACCCUCAGGUGAACUGGGGCACAAUCAGAUCUGAGAAUCAUUAAAAAGUCUAUGAAUAAAAACUGCUGGAGAGGGUUUGGAGGAAAGGGAACCCUCCCACAUUGUUAGUGGGAAUGUAAUUUGGUGCCGCCACUGUGGAAAACAAUAUGGAGUUUCCUAAAAAGACAAAGAAUUACCAUAUGAUCCAGCAAUUCCACUCCUAGGAAUAUAUCCGGACAAAACUAUAAUUGAAAAUAUAAUUACACCCCUGCGUUCAUAGUAGCACUAUUCACAAAAGCCAAGAUGUGGAAGCCACUUUAAAUGUCCUUCAACAAAAGAAUGGAUAAAGAAGAUGUGGUACAUAUAUACAAUGGAAUAUUACUUAGCCCUAAAAAAGAAUAAAAUAAUGCUUUUUGUGGAAACAUGGGUAGAACUAGAGAUUGUCAUUCUAAGUGAAGUAAGUCAGAGCGAGAAGGACAGCAGUUCCCAUCGUGGCUUAGUAGAAACGAAUCUGACUAGUAUCCAUGAGCAUGCAGGUUCAAUCCCUGGCCUCGCUCAGUGGUUAAGGAUCUGGUGUUUCCAUGAGCUGUGAUGCAGCUCAGAUAUGUCAUUGCUGUGUCUGUGGCAUAGGCUGGUGGCUUCAGCUUUGAUUCAGCCCCUAGCCUGGGAACCUCCAUAUGC
rnacentral:lncRNA from 1 species